rnacentral:rRNA from 1 species
GAUGAACGCUAGCGAUAGGCUUAACACAUGCAAGUCGAGGGGUAACAUGGGAGUAGCUUGCUACUUCUGAUGACGACCGGCGGAUGGGUGAGUAACGCGUAUGCAACUUGCCUCUUAGUGGGGAAUAACCCGGAGAAAUCCGGACUAAUACCGCAUACACUUAGUUAUCCGCAUGGAUGAUUAAGGAAAGAUUUAUUGCUAAGAGAUAGGCAUGCGUUCCAUUAGUUGGUUGGUGAGGUAACGGCUCACCAAGGCAUCGAUGGAUAGGGGAGCUGAGAGGGUGAACGGCCACAAGGGGACUGAGACACGGCCCUU